AUGGUGUGUCCUGACAUUUCGGGGACACAUGGUGUGUCCUGACAUUUAGGGAACACAUGGUGUGUCCUGACGUUUAGGGGACACAAGGUAGUGAGGGUCCUGACGUUUAGGGGACACAUGGUGUGUCCUGACGUUUAGGGGACACAUGGUAGUAAGGGUCCUGACGUUUAGGGGACACAUGGUGUGUCCUGACGUUUAGGGGACACAAGGUAUUAAGGGUCCUGACGUUUAGGGGACACAUGGUGUGUCCUGAAGUUAAGGGGACACAUGGUGUGUCCUGACGUUAAGGGGACACAUGGUGUGUCCUGACAUUUAGGGGACACAUGGUGUGUCUUGACGUUUAGGGGACACAUGGUAGUAAGGGUCCUGACGUUUAGGGGACACAUGGUAGUAAGGGUCCUGACGUUUAGGGGACACAUGGUGUGUCCUGAAGUUAAGGGGACACAUGGUGUGUCCUGACGUUAAGGGGACACAUGGUGUGUCCUGACGUUUAGGGGACACAAGGUAGUAAGGGUCCUGACGUUUAGGGGACACAAGGUAGUAAGGGUCCUGACGUUUAGGGGACACAUUGUGUGUCCUGAUGUUUAGGGGACACAAGGUGGUGAGGGUCCUGACGUUUAGGGGACACAUGGUAAUAAGGGUCCUGACGUUUAGGGGACACACGGUGUGUCCUGACGUUUAGGGGACACACGGUGUGUCCUGACGUUUAGGGGACACACGGUGUGUCCUGACGUUUAGGGGACACACGGUGUGUCCUGACGUUUAGGGGACACACGAUGUGUCCUGACGUUUAGGGGACACACGGUGUGUCCUGACAUUUAGGGGACACAUGGUAAUACGUGUCCUGCAUUUGUCUUGACAUUAACGGGCCACAAGGUAACAGGUGUCCUGACGUUUAGGGGACACAGGUAACAUAUGUCCUGACGUUUAGGGGACACAAGGUAAGAGGUGUCCUGACGUUUAGGGGACACAGGUAACGUAUGUCCUGACGUUUAGGGGACACAGGUAACGUAUGUCCUGACGUUUAGGGGACACAAGGUAAGAGGUGUCCUGACAUUUAGGGGCCACGAAGUAACAGGUGUCCUGAUGUUGAGGGGACACAAAGUAACAGGUGUCCUGGGUCCUGACUGGUGGUGGACUGAGACAAGUCUUGUCCCACGUUGAGUGCGCCACCAAGGCCACAAGUAGUUUAGCUAUGCAAGAGUUUGUACACGUCGGUCGCUAAGCAGAAAAGCGGCGACAAACACUAAAGUGCCAGAUUGUUGGAGCUUCUUGACGUCACUUUCACUUCUGACUGUAAAACACUAACGUCUCAAAUGUGACAAAAACAUGACUAUGGUCUUUGCCUUACACACUUGUUGUCCCGUCGGUACUGUGCUUUGACUUCUUUUAUUCUUCUUUUAAAGUCAUGACUUUAUUUGCAAAUGUAUAUUUCAUGAUAACCUAGCGACGAAUGAUCUAUUUUUGUGGUGUACAAAGAGUGUAAUAUAGGAAAGAAGCAGCCGAGCAAAGUUCAUAUCUUCUGCUCAUUUCCUCCUGUUUUUAUCACAUUUUCAAUAAAUAUAUUCCUGUUGGGGAAAAGGGCA